rnacentral:rRNA from 1 species
GACGAACGCUGGCGGCGUGCCUAAUACAUGCAAGUAGAACGCACAGUUUAUACCGUAGCUUGCUACACCAUAGACUGUGAGUUGCGAACGGGUGAGUAACGCGUAGGUAACCUGCCUGGUAGCGGGGGAUAACUAUUGGAAACGAUAGCUAAUACCGCAUAAUAUUGAUUAUUGCAUGAUAAUUGAUUGAAAGAUGCUAUUGCAUCACUACCAGAUGGACCUGCGUUGUAUUAGCUAGUAGGUGAGGUAACGGCUCACCUAGGCGACGAUACAUAGCCGACCUGAAAGGGUGAUCGGCCACACUGGGACUGAGACACGGCCCAGACUCCUACGGGAGGCAGCAGUAGGGAAUCUUCGGCAAUGGACGAAAGUCUGACCGAGCAACGCCGCGUGAGUGAAGAAGGUUUUCGGAUCGUAAAGCUCUGUUGUAAGAGAAGAACGGGUGUGAGAGUGGAAAGUUCACACUGUGACGGUAUCUUACCAGAAAGGGACGGCUAACUACGUG